rnacentral:tRNA from 2 species
GCCGAGGUGGUGGAACUGGUAGACACGCUAUCUUGAGGGGGUAGUGGGAGAAAUCCCGUGGGGGUUCGAGUCCCCCCCUCGGCACCA